AAACCCAGGCUAAUACCGCAUACGUCCUACGGGAGAAAGGGGGCUUCGGCUCCCGCUAUCGGAUGAGCCUAUGUCGGAUUAGCUAGUUGGUGAGGUAACGGCUCACCAAGGCGACGAUCCGUAGCUGGUCUGAGAGGAUGAUCAGCCACAUCGGGACUGAGACACGGCCCGAACUCCUACGGGAGGCAGCAGUGGGGAAUAUUGGACAAUGGGGGGAACCCUGAUCCAGCCAUGCCGCGUGUGUGAAGAAGGCCCUCGGGUUGUAAAGCACUUUCAGCGAGGAAGAACGCCUAGCGGUUAAUACCCGCUAGGAAAGACAUCACUCGCAGAAGAAGCACCGGCUAACUCCGUGCCAGCAGCCGCGGUAAUACGGAGGGUGCAAGCGUUAAUCGGAAUUACUGGGCGUAAAGCGCGCGUAGGUGGCUUGAUAAGCCGGUUGUGAAAGCCCCGGGCUCAACCUGGGAACGGCAUCCGGAACUGUCAAGCUAGAGUGCAGGAGAGGAAGGUAGAAUUCCCGGUGUAGCGGUGAAAUGCGUAGAGAUCGGGAGGAAUACCAGUGGCGAAGGCGGCCUUCUGGACUGACACUGACACUGAGGUGCGAAAGCGUGGGUAGCAAACAGGAUUAGAUACCCUGGUAGUCCACGCCGUAAACGAUGUCGACCAGCCGUUGGGUGCCUAGCGCACUUUGUGGCGAAGUUAACGCGAUAAGUCGACCGCCUGGGGAGUACGGCCGCAAGGUUAAAACUCAAAUGAAUUGAC
rnacentral:rRNA from 1 species